rnacentral:rRNA from 1 species
GGCACCUACGGGACGCAGCAGUGAGGAAUAUUGGUCAAUGGGCUUACGCCUGAACCAGCCAAGUCGCGUGAGGGAAGACUGCCCUAUGGGUUGUAAACCUCUUUUGUCAGGGAGCAACGCCGGCUACGUGUAGCCGGACUGAGAGUACCUGGAGAAAAAGCAUCGGCUAACUCCGUGCCAGCAGCCGCGGUAAUACGGAGGAUGCGAGCGUUAUCCGGAUUUAUCGGGAUUAAAGGGUGCGUAGGCGGAAUGCCAAGGCAGCGGUAAAAUCGCGGGGCUCAACCUCGCUCCGCCGGUGAAACUGG